UACGUAGGGGGCAAGCGUUGUCCGGAUUUAUUGGGCGUAAAGAGCGUGUAGGCGGCCAGUCAGGUCCGUUGUGAAAACUCGAGGCUCAACCUCGAGACGCCGAUGGAAACCGACUGGCUAGAGUCCGGAAGAGGAGAGUGGAAUUCCCGGUGUGAGCGGUGAAAUGCGCAGAUAUCGGGAAGAACACCCGUGGCUAAGGCGGCUCUCUAGUACGGUACUGACGCUGAGACGCGAAAGCGUGGGGAGCGAACAGG
rnacentral:rRNA from 1 species